AGGGCACCACCAGGAGUGGAGCCUGCGGCUUAAUUUGACUCAACACGGGAAAACUUACCUGGGCCGGACACUGGAAGGAUUGACAGAUUGAGAGCUCUUUCUUGAUUCAGUGGGUGGUGGUGCUUGGCCGUUCUUAGUUGGUGGAGCGAUUUGUCUGGUUAAUUCCGAUAACGAACGAAACUCUAGCCUACUAAAUAGACUGCUCAACUUUUUAUGGGCAUCACCGUGCAUGUUCUUCGGGGGUGGGACGGCUGCGGUGACAAUGGCAGUGCUUCUUAGAGGGACAGGCCCUUUAUCAGCCGCGCGAAACAGAGCACUAACAGGACUGUGAUGCCCUUAUAUGUCCUGCGCCGCACGCGCGCUACACUGACCUGAUCAACCUGCUAUUAACGUUUCCUACUCCAUCGGGAGUGGGCAACCCGAUGAACCAUCUUCGUGAUUGGGAUAGGCGAUUGUACUUAUUCACCUUGAACCAGGAAUUCCCACCAAGCGCACGUCAUAACCUUGCAUUGAUUACGU
rnacentral:rRNA from 1 species